GACGUAGGGUGCGAGCGUUGUCCGGAUUUAUUGGGCGUAAAGAGCUCGUAGGCGGCUCGUCGCGUCGACCGUGAAAACCCGCGGCUUAACUGCGGGCUUGCGGUUGAUACUGGCGGGCUUGAAUCCGGGAGAGGGAUGUGGAAUUCCAGGUGUAGCGGUGAAAUGCGUAGAUAUCUGGAGGAACACCGGUGGCGAAGGCGGCAUCCUGGACCGGUAUUGACGCUGAGGCGCGAAAGCUAGGGGAGCAAACGGG
rnacentral:rRNA from 1 species